CAAGUUGAUAAAUUAUUCAUGUUCAUCAAUUGCAAUAUUACAUCCUCAACUAUCCAACAAACAAAAACCGAUGGAAAACAUGGUCUUUAACUGAAUUAUUAUUUGAUAAAAAUAAUUUAAGCAUGAAACUUUACACAUGGUUAUAUAUGUAUAGAGUGAUCAUUCUUGCAACACAAAAGAACCCUCUAUUCUUUUCUCCAUCAAUU
rnacentral:misc_RNA from 1 species